rnacentral:lncRNA from 1 species
GGAAGGGAUAUUUAUUGGUUAAUUCUUUCUCGGCCUCGACCUUUGAAAUGAACUAGAGUUCUGGCCACCAGUGCUGAAGACAGUUCUGGGGUUGGGGGGAGGGGAAGAAAAUUGGAACCCCCCCCCCCCCAUUUUGACUGCACGUGCUCAGCACGUCGCGUUAGCUUAACAGGCAGUGGGGGCUGCUAAUGAGGCUCCCCCGAAUCUGCUCUGACAACCUGAAAACCCAAAGCCUGGAGGAAAUGAAGGGUUCUUGAAAGAAGUGUAAGAAUUGCCUUGUUACCAGGCAGAUUUCGCACGCGGCAGUACUCCAGGGGCGGGAGCCCUCCCUUUCACAGCAGAGUUGGAACGGUUCCCAAAAUAGGUUCCCUCUGAUUUCUCCCCAUAUCUGGGUAUUGAAUGCACAAUGGACUAGAGGUACAGAAUGGAGCAAAUCCUUUCAGAUAAUGAUUUUACAAAACAAAACAAGCAUUUCCACAAAGAAAAAGAAGAUAGUACACAAAUGAAAUCACAAAUCUUCUAGAUGUUUAGCUUACUUUUCUUCAUUUCUAUAGAAUAUAUCUAGUCAACAAGAGUCCCAGUCCC